GACAGAAGGACGCCACAGAAAAGAGUAGAAGACCCAUGCAAGUCUUUAAUUUCAUUUGUGAUAUAUGUGGUCAAAUAAAACAGCAGCUACACAAGACUUUUUCAUAAGGUUCACGUAGCCUUAUCCUUUCAAAUCUUUCUCCGAAUCUCAAUCAUAUAUACAGCACUAGAGCUUGUACAAGUUAUGAGACAGUCACAUAGAAAUAAACAAUGACGAGCAAGACUUUUGCUUCUCCUAUGUUCAUCUUCUUUUGGCUUUUGAUGAUUUCCAUCCUUUUAGUCCAACCCGCUCUCUCUGGACGGACAUUUGGCGGCAGCGGUGGGGGUAGCAUGAUGGGAGGGGAUCCAAGUCGUGCUCCCAAGGCGACCGGCGGAAGUUCUCCUACAAACUCUGCUCCUAAAGAUGGAGGCGGUGGAUCCAUAGGUUAUGGGCCAUUACAAAGGCAUCCAAUUUGCAACAAAAUACGAUACGCCUAUUGUUUGCGGCCCCCACCAGAAAGACCAUGUAAUUAUUAUACCCGUUGCCGUCCCCCACUCCCACCAAAAUAAAGUGGCCAAUAAAAGCGGACUGGACCUGAUUCCCUAUUAAUAAAGUUGGACUCAGAGUGAUCCAACCCUAGUUAAGCCCAGAAAAAAAUGAGCCCAUGCAAUGGAAAUAUACGUAUGGAUUAGAUGUUUUGAGGAUAUCUUUCAAAACUUUUAUGAUAGUGUGAAAAACUUUUAAUGUAGAUGGUUAGGUGUUUUGGAGUGUAUUAUUAUAGUAUUGUAUUUAAAAUCCUUGUUUAUGAAAUAAUGGUAAAUUGUAUAGACCUACAUUUCAAGUGUUUGUAGAAAAUUAAAUAUAUGAAGAGAUUGUGCAUGUGUUGAUUGUAAUUUAGUAAAUUCGUAAGAUGCAGAAGCUCUCAAACUACUUAUUUUACUAAAUUAUUAUUCAUGAUAAUAUUUGGCGUUCACAUUUUUCUAUCUAUAAUGGAUAAAAAUGUGUUUUGACGAGAGCUCUUGUAGUUUGGUCCGUCAUAAGUACACCUAGUGGUGAUAUAAAUCAAGUUUAGGGGUUUAUAUUCUCAACCUAGAAGAGGAGAUAGCUUUAUCUAAAAUAUGAAACUUCUCCUUUGGUCCAAACUUAAACUUUGUGAAGUUUGGUCAUAAAUUCCAAUUGACGUUGGCAACUGGAUGAAAUCUCUGCAUGGGUACAUUUUAUUGACCAUACGAUUCACUUUGGUCAUAAUUUGGAGUUAGGUAGGUUUGAGUCUCCCUCUUUGAGGCUUCUUGCUAAUUUACUUUGCUGAUUCCCUUUCAUUUGGAUUAAAUUUGCAUAAAUUUUUCUCUUUGAUAAAUACUUUGUCCUGAAAAUGGAAAAGUAUGCAAGAAUAUUGAGUAUAUUGGCAUCCAUUUGAGUUUUCAGUGUGCAAGUUUGCAAACUGUUUAUGUUGGUUCAGGACAAGUAUUUUGUUAUUGGUGAAGGAAUUUUAAUAUGCAUAUCUGGUUGCAUGGCAGCACCUUUACUGCCAAAACUGUGCUUCGUAAUGAGUUCAGAAAAUAUUCAUACUAAUAAAAAAGAAAAAAAAAA